UCAGGCCUAACACAUGCAAGUCGAGCGGCAGCGACAUGAUAGAAGCUUCGGUGGACAUCAUGGGCGGCGAGCGGCGGACGGGUGAGUAAUGCCUGGGAAUAUGCCCUGGUGUGGGGGAUAACUAUUGGAAACGAUAGCUAAUACCGCAUAAUCUCUUCGGAGCAAAGAGGGGGACCUUCGGGCCUCUCGCGUCAGGAUUAGCCCAGGUGGGAUUAGCUAGUUGGUGGGGUAACGGCUCACCAAGGCGACGAUCCCUAGCUGGUCUGAGAGGAUGAUCAGCCACACUGGAACUGAGACACGGUCCAGACUCCUACGGGAGGCAGCAGUGGGGAAUAUUGCACAAUGGGGGAAACCCUGAUGCAGCCAUGCCGCGUGUAUGAAGAAGGCCUUCGGGUUGUAAAGUACUUUCAGCAGUGAGGAAGGGGUGUACGUUAAUAGCGUAUAUCUUUGACGUUAGCUGCAGAAGAAGCACCGGCUAACUCCGUGCCAGCAGCCGCGGUAAUACGGAGGGUGCGAGCGUUAAUCGGAAUUACUGGGCGUAAAGCGCAUGCAGGCGGUCUGUUAAGCAAGAUGUGAAAGCCCGGGGCUUAACCUCGGAACAGCAUUUUGAACUGGCAGGCUAGAGUCUUGUAGAGGGGGGUAGAAUUUCAGGUGUAGCGGAGAAAUGCGUAGAGAUCUGAAGAAAUACCGGUGGCGAAGG
rnacentral:rRNA from 1 species